rnacentral:tRNA from 1 species
GCCCAGCUGGCUUAGUUGGUGGAGCAUGUGACUCUUGAUCUCAAGGUUGUGAGUUCCAGUCCCACACUGGAUA